AGAGUUUGAUCCUGGCUCAGGAUGAACGCUAGCUACAGGCUUAACACAUGCAAGUCGAGGGGCAGCAUGGUCUUAGCUUGCUAAGGCCGAUGGCGACCGGCGCACGGGUGAGUAACACGUAUCCAACCUGCCGUCUACUCUUGGACAGCCUUCUGAAAGGAAGAUUAAUACAAGAUGGCAUCAUGAGUCCGCAUGUUCACAUGAUUAAAGGUAUUCCGGUAGACGAUGGGGAUGCGUUCCAUUAGAUAGUAGGCGGGGUAACGGCCCACCUAGUCUUCGAUGGAUAGGGGUUCUGAGAGGAAGGUCCCCCACAUUGGAACUGAGACACGGUCCAAACUCCUACGGGAGGCAGCAGUGAGGAAUAUUGGUCAAUGGGCGAGAGCCUGAACCAGCCAAGUAGCGUGAAGGAUGACUGCCCUAUGGGUUGUAAACUUCUUUUAUAAAGGAAUAAAGUCGGGUAUGCAUACCCGUUUGCAUGUACUUUAUGAAUAAGGAUCGGCUAACUCCGUGCCAGCAGCCGCGGUAAUACGGAGGAUCCGAGCGUUAUCCGGAUUUAUUGGGUUUAAAGGGAGCGUAGAUGGAUGUUUAAGUCAGUUGUGAAAGUUUGCGGCUCAACCGUAAAAUUGCAGUUGAUACUGGAUAUCUUGAGUGCAGUUGAGGCAGGCGGAAUUCGUGGUGUAGCGGUGAAAUGCUUAGAUAUCACGAAGAACUCCGAUUGCGAAGGCAGCCUGCUAAGCUGCAACUGACAUUGAGGCUCGAAAGUGUGGGUAUCAAACAGGAUUAGAUACCCUGGUAGUCCACACGGUAAACGAUGAAUACUCGCUGUUUGCGAUAUACAGCAAGCGGCCAAGCGAAAGCGUUAAGUAUUCCACCUGGGGAGUACGCCGGCAACGGU
rnacentral:rRNA from 1 species